CCUACGGGAGGCUGCAGUGAGGAAUAUUGGUCAAUGGCCGUAAGGCUGAACCAGCCAAGUCGCGUGAAGGAAGAAGGAUCUAUGGGUUUUAAACUUCUUUUAUAGAGGAAUAAAGGUAUCCACGUGUGGAUAUUUGUAUGUACCCUAUGAAUAAGCAUCGGCUAACUCCGUGCCAGCAGCAGCGGUAAUACGGAGGGUGCGAGCGUUAUCCGGAUUUAUUGGGUUUAAAGGGUGCGUAGGUUGUUUUUUAAGUCAGCGGUGAAAGUUUGUGGCUAAACCAUAAAAGUGCCGUUGAAACUGGAAGACUUGAGUGUGUUUGAGGUAGGCGGAAUGCGUGGUGUAGCGGUGAAAUGCAUAGAUAUCACGAAGAACUCCGAUUGCGAAGGCAGCUUACUAAGCCAUAACUGACACUGAAGCACGAAAGCGUGGGGAUCAAACAGGAUUAGAUACCCCAGUAGUC
rnacentral:rRNA from 1 species